UCCAAGCUUGAUUGCCUUCCCAGCAGCCU
rnacentral:piRNA from 1 species